rnacentral:rRNA from 1 species
AUCAACUUUCGAUGGUAGGAUAGAGGCCUACCAUGGUGGUAACGGGUAACGGGGUGUUAGGGCACGACACCGGAGAGGGAGCCUGAGAAACGGCUACCACAUCCAAGGAUGGCAGCAGGCGCGCAAAUUACCCAAUCCCGACACGGGGAGGUAGUGACAAUAAAUAACAAUACGGGGUUCUUUCGGAUUUCGUAAUUGGAAUGAGUACAAUUUAAAUCUCUUAACGAGGAACAAUUGGAGGGCAAGUCUGGUGCCAGCAGCCGCGGUAAUUCCAGCUCCAAUAGCGUAUAUUAAAGUUGCUGCAGUUAAAAAGCUCGUAGUUGAAUUUCGGGAUCAAUAUGUUGGUCGUGCCUCGGUACGUACUAGCUUAUUGGUUUCUCCCUUCUGACGAACCAUGAUGUCAUUUAUUUGGUGUUAUGGGAAAUCAGGACUGUUACUUUGAAAAAAUUAGAGUGUUUAAAGCAGGCUCACGCUUGAAUACAUUAGCAUGGAAUAAUGAAAUAGGACGUUUGAUUCUAUUUUGUUGGUUUCUAGGAUCGACGUAAUGAUUAAUAGGGAUAGUUGGGGGCAUUAGUAUUCAAUUGUCAGAGGUGAAAUUCUUGGAUUUAUUGAAGACUAACUACUGCGAAAGCAUUUGCCAAGGAUGUUUUCAUUAAUCAAGAACGAAAGUUAGGGGAUCGAAGACGAUCAGAUACCGUCGUAGUCUUAACCAUAAACUAUGCCGACUAGGGAUCGGAUGAUGUUAAUUUUUUAAUGACUCAUUCGGCGCCUUACGGGAAACCAAAGUGUUUGGGUUC